rnacentral:rRNA from 1 species
GGUAACCUACCCUGUACACACGGAUAACAUACCGAAAGGUAUGCUAAUACGGGAUAAUAUAUUUGAGAGGCAUCUCUUGAAUAUCAAAGGUGAGCCAGUACAGGAUGGACCCGCGUCUGAUUAGCUAGUUGGUAAGGUAACGGCUUACCAAGGCGACGAUCAGUAGCCGACCUGAGAGGGUGAUCGGCCACAUUGGAACUGAGACACGGUCCAAACUCCUACGGGAGGCAGCAGUGGGGAAUAUUGCACAAUGGGCGAAAGCCUGAUGCAGCAACGCCGCGUGAGUGAUGAAGGCCUUCGGGUCGUAAAACUCUGUCCUCAAGGAAGAUAAUGACGGUACUUGAGGAGGAAGCCCCGGCUAACUACGUGCCAGCAGCCGCGGUAAUACGUAGGGGGCUAGCGUUAUCCGGAUUUACUGGGCGUAAAGGGUGCGUAGGCGGUCUUUCAAGUCAGGAGUGAAAGGCUACGGCUCAACCGUAGUAAGCUCUUGAAACUGGGAGACUUGAGUGCAGGAGAGGAGAGUGGAAUUCCUAGUGUAGCGGUGAAAUGCGUAGAUAUUAGGAGGAACACCAGUUGCGAAGGCGGCUCUCUGGACUGUAACUGACGCUGAGGCACGAAAGCGUGGGGAGCAAACAGGAUUAGAUACCCUGGUAGUCCACGCUGUAAAC